rnacentral:rRNA from 1 species
AGAGUUUGAUCCUGGCUCAGAUUGAACGCUGGCGGCAGGCCUAACACAUGCAAGUCGAGCGGUAGCACAGAGAGCUUGCUCUCGGGUGACGAGCGGCGGACGGGUGAGUAAUGUCUGGGAAACUGCCUGAUGGAGGGGGAUAACUACUGGAAACGGUAGCUAAUACCGCAUAACGUCGCAAGACCAAAGUGGGGGACCUUCGGGCCUCAUGCCAUCAGAUGUGCCCAGAUGGGAUUAGCUAGUAGGUGGGGUAAUGGCUCACCUAGGCGACGAUCCCUAGCUGGUCUGAGAGGAUGACCAGCCACACUGGAACUGAGACACGGUCCAGACUCCUACGGGAGGCAGCAGUGGGGAAUAUUGCACAAUGGGCGCAAGCCUGAUGCAGCCAUGCCGCGUGUAUGAAGAAGGCCUUCGGGUUGUAAAGUACUUUCAGCGAGGAGGAAGGCGUUAAGGUUAAUAACCUUGGCGAUUGACGUUACUCGCAGAAGAAGCACCGGCUAACUCCGUGCCAGCAGCCGCGGUAAUACGGAGGGUGCAAGCGUUAAUCGGAAUUACUGGGCGUAAAGCGCACGCAGGCGGUUUGUUAAGUCAGAUGUGAAAUCCCCGGGCUCAACCUGGGAACUGCAUUUGAAACUGGCAAGCUUGAGUCUUGUAGAGGGGGGUAGAAUUCCAGGUGUAGCGGUGAAAUGCGUAGAGAUCUGGAGGAAUACCGGUGGCGAAGGCGGCCCCCUGGACAAAGACUGACGCUCAGGUGCGAAAGCGUGGGGAGCAAACAGGGUUAGAUACCCUGGUAGUCCACGCUGUAAACGAUGUCGACUUGGAGGUUGUUCCCUUGAGGAGUGGCUUCCGGAGCUAACGCGUUAAGUCGACCGCCUGGGGAGUACGGCCGCAAGGUUAAAACUCAAAUGAAUUGACGGGGGCCCGCACAAGCGGUGGAGCAUGUGGUUUAAUUCGAUGCGACGCGAAGAACCUUACCUACUCUUGACAUCCAGAGAACUUAGCAGAGAUGCUUUGGUGCCUUCGGGAACUCUGAGACAGGUGCUGCAUGGCUGUCGUCAGCUCGUGUUGUGAAAUGUUGGGUUAAGUCCCGCAACGAGCGCAACCCUUAUCCUUUGUUGCCAGCGGUUCGGCCGGGAACUCAAAGGAGACUGCCAGUGAUAAACUGGAGGAAGGUGGGGAUGACGUCAAGUCAUCAUGGCCCUUACGAGUAGGGCUACACACGUGCUACAAUGGCAUAUACAAAGAGAAGCGACCUCGCGAGAGCAAGCGGACCUCAUAAAGUAUGUCGUAGUCCGGAUUGGAGUCUGCAACUCGACUCCAUGAAGUCGGAAUCGCUAGUAAUCGUAGAUCAGAAUGCUACGGUGAAUACGUUCCCGGGCCUUGUACACACCGCCCGUCACACCAUGGGAGUGGGUUGCAAAAGAAGUAG